CCUACGGGAGGCAGCAGUGAGGAAUAUUGGUCAAUGGACGAGAGUCUGAACCAGCCAAGUAGCGUGAAGGAUGACUGCCCUAGGGGUGGUAAACUUCUUUUAUAAAGGAAUAAAACGACGCACGUGUGCCUUUUUGCAUGUACUUUAUGAAUAAGGAUCGGCUAACUCCGUACCAGCAGCCGCGGUAAUACGGAGGAUCCGAGCGUUAUCCGGAUUUAUUGGGUUUAAAGGGAGCGUAGGUGGAUUGUUAAGUCAGUUGUGAAAGCUUGCGGCUCAACCGUAAAAUUGCAGUUGAAACUGGCAGUCUUGAGUACAGUAGAGGUGGGCGGAAUUCGUGGUGUAGCGGUGAAAUGCUUAGAUAUCACGAAGAACUCCGAUUGCGAAGGCAGUUCACUGGACUGCAACUGACACUGAGGCUCGAAAGUGUGGGUAUCAAACAGGAUUAGAUACCCGAGUAGUC
rnacentral:rRNA from 1 species